GGUCCACCCACGACACAACCGGAUGAAACCCCACGCAAAGAAGGAUACCCGGGAAUACAGCCUACAGGGAUAUGAGUUGGCCGGAGAUGCUCUUACACAAAAACCAACAGAUUCCCCGGUGAUUUAUUUGUUGCUUUACUUUUGGAAGUCUCAACAUUUAUUUAUAUGCUAAAAAUGCCUCCCCAAACUCCACCCACCAACAAGCUAUACUUCUACUACGGCCACCGUAAACCCACCCAAAACCGCCCCACCGUCCACGGCGGCCUUUUCACCAACCGCCGUACCGUCAACCCUCAUAAACCCCCCAUUUCGACCCGACCCACCUCCUUCAAUUUCGACAAUUGGGACCCGGAUUCACCUCAAUUAGCUCAACCCAUCACUGACCCAUCUGCCCAUUUCUUCUCUGUAGCUCAAUCUUUAUCCCCAAUUGCUCGUUACAUUGUUGAUUCCUUUAGAAAACAUGGUCAGUGGGGCCCACAGGUUGUUUCGGAUCUUAAUAAGCUCAGACGGGUCACUCCUAAACUUGUUGCUGAAGUACUUAAAGUUCAGGAUGAUCCAAGACUGUCUUCUAAGUUCUUUCACUGGGCAGGUAAGCAAAAAGGAUAUAAACAUGAUUUUGCGUGUUACAAUGCUUUAGCUUAUUGUUUGAAUCGAAAUAAUCAGUUUCGGGCAGCCGAUCAAGUGCCUGAGCUAAUGAACAUGCAAGGGAAAGCGCCUACUGAGAAACAGUUUGAAAUUUUGAUUAGGAUGCAUGCUGAUGCUAAUAGGGGUCUUAGAGUGUACCAUGUGUAUGAAAAGAUGAAAAAGUUUGGAGUUCGACCGCGGGUUUUUUUGUAUAAUAGGAUACUAGAUGCUUUGGUGAAAACCAAUCAUGUCAAUUUAGCAAUGACAGUUUAUGAUGACUUUAGAAAUGAGGGACUGGUGGAGGAGAGUAUUACUUACAUGAUAUUAGUAAAGGGUUUAUGCAAGGAAGGACGGAUCAAUGAGGUUUCCGAACUUUUGAAUCUCAUGAGGGAAAAGUUAUGUAAACCGGAUGUUUUUGCAUACACCGCAAUGGUGCGUGUGUUGGUUUCAGAGGGUAACUUAGAUGGGUGUUUGAGAAUUUGGGAAGAAAUGCUGAAUGACAAGGUUCUUCCGGAUGUUAUGGCUUACUCAACUUUAAUUCUAGGGUUAUGCAAAGGAAAUCGGGUUUUAAAAGGUUAUGAAUUGUUUAAGGAGAUGAAAGAGAGGAAGUAUUUGAUUGAUAGAGUUAUUUAUGGAUCCUUGAUCGAGGCAUUUGUUGGGGAAGGGAAGAUUGGCCUGGCAUGUGAUUUGCUGAAGGAUUUGAUGGACUCCGGAUAUAGGGCCGACUUGGCUAUAUAUAAUUCACUUAUAAAAGGUUUGUGUUGUGCCAACCACAUUGAAAAGGCCCACAAACUUUUUCAAGUCACUGUUCAAGAGGAUUUACAACCAGAUUUUGUAACGAUAAAACCUAUGCUAGUUUCUUUUGCAGAGUCAAAGAAUUUAGAUGACUUCUGCAAAUUGCUUGUUGAGGUUCAAAAACUUGGUUUUAAUGUCAUUGAUGAUCUUGGUAGAUUUUUUUCAUUUAUGGUGGAGAAAGAGGAUAGAGUAAUGAUAGCUGUAGAAGUGUUUGACCACUUAAAGCUGAAAGAGUAUUGUAGUAUUUCAAUAUACAAUAUUAUUAUGGAAGCUCUUUAUCAUAUUGGGGAGGUUGAUCAGGCACUACUUCUAUUUCGUGAGUUGAAGAAUUUACAUUUUGAACCUGACUUGUCAAGUUACAACAUUGGGAUAAGAUGUUUUACUGAAAUAGGUGACAUCCAAGAAGCAUGUUCCUGCUAUAAUAUGAUAAAGCAGAGGUCUUUAGUUCCCUCUAGUGGGGCCUAUUAUUCUCUCGUUAAAGGGCUUUGCAAAACUGGGUAUAUUGAUGAAGCUAUGAUGCUUAUUCGUGAUUGCUUAGCCAAUGUUACAAAUGGUCCAAUGGAGUUUAAGUAUAGUCUAGCUAUUCUCCAUAUGUGUAAAAAAAAUGAUGCAGGAAAGGUAAUAGAAGUUUUAGAUGAGAUGGUGCAACAGGGUAUGCUUCUGGAUGAAGUUAUAUAUUCCGCUAUUGUCUGUGGCAUGUGCGAACAUGGUACGAUAGAUGAGGCGAGGAAAGUCUUCACCUAUUUGAGAGAUUGUAAACUUUUAACUGAAGCCGACUUGAUAGUUUAUGAUGAAGUACUUGUUGACCACACAAAGACGAAGACAGCAGACUUGAUGCUUUCUGGACUGAAAUUUUUUGGUCUGGAGUCUAAACUAAAAUCAAAAGGCUGUAAACUUUUACCAAGUUAAUUUCAGGUAUCAGACUGAUCUGUUUUUGUUCUAGAAGAUUUUUGUCACCCCAGCAUUCUUCCUGCCAUCAAAUUAGAAAGUGACUAUCUUCCGAGUACUGUUUGUUGUUGUAUCAUGUAUGCAAUGUUAAUGCCAUUCUUCAUCGUAUGUAUUCACACACACACACAUACAUUGAUAUAUAUAAUAUACAUUUUUGCCAUUACGAUUUUGUACUAUAUUUCACUCUGUCCUCAGGUUAACUCCCUGAUCCUUGGGGCUGGUUCUCUCUCUCUCUCUCUCUCCCUCCCUCCCCAGGCCCCCUCCAAUCCAUCAGAAACAAACUUAGACUAGAAACUAGAAAGUGACUGCAACAAAUCUGCCUUUUAGAGCUUCAAGCCUGGGAUUUAAGGCAUCUUUUAUCGAUCUUUCGGGGAUGGGCAAUUCCGAACUCUAAUGAGGAAUGGUAUAUUCAGUGAUUGUUCAGCAUUUUUAGUUGAAUAUAUACAUAUAUUACAAAUCAACAUCCAAUUACCACCACCACCACCAUUGAUUACGUUCACCACUACAUUUGGCCGAUUUACUACGACUAGGGGGCAGAAGAAAGGUCGGUAGAGAAUGAGAAGGAAGGGGAAGGGAGUGAGGAGGAAGGUCAGGGAAGGGACGGGGUGGAGCGAGCGAGAGCGAGGAAUGAGGAAUGAGGCUGGUGCUAGGAUGGGUCGGAGUCGGGCGAUACUGGUGGCCGGCAGGAGUGGGAGUGAUAGUUGGGGUUUGGUCGAUUGGGGGCGAUGAUCACUAAAUAUGACUACACCAAUCAAUGAUUUCUAGUUUCUAUCCAGCUGUAGCAGUAAUUUGAGCUGCUGCAACUGGUCUUGGAUUACAGAAUUAUAUAUGAGGCUUAGUCAUUGGCACUACCACUACCAUAUGAGCAUGCCAACGAGGGAAGAAAUGUAAGCAGAAUCACUCGUUCUUUUGCUUCAACGUCACCUGCCUAGCUUCCAAAGAUGCAGUUUUUGGAACUAGUGUGGCAUGAGAAUGACUUUCCUGGGGUUACUUGAGCGAUGGAAUGGAAUAUGUGGUGGAAGCAGAAGCACGUUUCAUGAACCAACAGAACACCUCAGAAAUUACGAGAAAAGGUAUCACCUGGUGUUUGCAUCUACAAUCAGCUCAACAACCUGCUCAAUUUUCUUUAGCCGAGAGGUAUUACCUGUAUUACAUAUUUACAUGUGUAAUGAACCUUAAAAUUCUAAGCAGGGGUGUUGGUGUUGGUAAUUUGGUGAUUUAGCGUUUAUGAAUGUACAGUUGUGAUCUAGUAUUCAAUUUGAUUUGUUUGAUUAA